rnacentral:lncRNA from 1 species
GACAAAAAGUGUAUUACGGUAUAUUUUACAAUAGAUUCACUUUAACUCUAUGCCAAAGACCUCAUUCACUUGAUCUACUUUCACUUCAUGUGAAACACUCAUUCAACAACCUUCUCAUCUUCUAGAGUCCCCUACACUCGAAAAGACAAGCUUAGCUUCUGAAGAGCUCUCAUUUUGUCAUUUCGGCAGAACCUCAUUUCUUUCGUGUCUGGCAUAGGGGUGAUUGGACAACCAUGUGGCUCGUUCCAACUAGCGAUGGCAAUUUCCGGGUCCGGGUCCGGGUCCGGGUUUGGCUGUUCCGGAUCCGGACCCGGACACAAAAUUCUCAUAACCGGACCCACAUUAAACCCGUUUUUUUUAAUCCGAGUCCGGUCCGGGUUCAACCCGGAAAAAUCCGGGUUUCCGGAUUCCGGGUUUUGAACCCAGAUUGCUUUAUUUUUAUCUUCUAUUCCUCUGGCCAACAAUGCAAGGUGUUCAAAACAACGAACAUGGUUAGUGCCAAGAUGAUGAUUGAGUAAUGUUUAUUUUAUUUUAAUAUUAGCCUCCAUAUUUUUUGCUUCCAAAAAACGUUGGCGGAACCGCAGAAGGAAAAAAAUUUACUCAAGAAAUAAUAAUUAAGAAAAUAAACAUCAAGCUUUUCUAAAAGAACAGAGCUGGCUUGCUGGUAAAAACUUGUUAUAUAGCUGUUUUCCCAAGUGCCGUCGAUUAUGUCAUUAAUUUUUCUUUUUUGUAAUUUUCUUUUUUUACUCUUAAAUCUUGAUCAACUACAUCAUCGAUUCAUUUCCAAUUCAACAAUAAAUUAUAAAUCCAAAAAAAUAUGUAUUGUUUUUAUAUUAUCCAAGACCAAACCAAAAUUCAUGUUAGGUAAGACGGCACUUACAAACGUUGAAUCUUCUCAAUUGUUCAGCCCUAACAAACCCAAGCAAAAAUUUAAUAUUUCAUCCCCUAAACAAUUUAGACCACUGCCACCAGCUGUCAAAAUUGCCGAUCAAUUCCAGCUGUCUCUAUUCUGCAUAUGCUUAAUGCUCUCAUCUGUAGUCUCCGCACACAACUCUUAACACCGUGUUCUAAAUGAUACUGAAACUUUAGAUAAAAGAACACGCAACGCCAAAAACUAAUUGUGGAACACAGCCGCCAUAUGAUGAAGAAGAAGAUGAUGAUCCCAGUUGUGAAUUUCAACCCCUUUUGCUGGCCACGACAGAGUGAGAGAUGAGACGAGUGAUGCUGAUGACUUAUGAAAUGAACACAGCCGCACCGUGAAGGUGAUGACAGGCCGCGCCGCGAAGGAUCUGAUCUGAUCUGGAGAAGAGAUUACAUGAGAGUUGAAGAGAGAGUGAGAGAGAUUAAGUGACGACUGAGGAACAAGUCACGGGUGAGAGAGAUUGAGAGAGGAACGGAUGAGACUUGAGAGAUUGAGAGAAGAAAUUACAGUAGAGUUCAGUUGAAGAGAGUAAGAGAUCGAGAAUUCGAGAUUUCGAGAGAGGAAUUAGAGAGAUUGAGAGAUCUAGGGUUCGCUUUUGUUUUUUUUUUUUUCUAUUUAUAUUUACGGAUUUACGAAUAAAAAUUAAUAUUAAAAUAAAUAAUAUCCGGGUCCGGGUUCCGGAUUUACGGAUUCACCUGAAACCGGAUCCGGAACCGGAAACAUGCGGGUUCUCAAAAACUUAUCCGGAUUCCAUAUAAAAAUCAUUCCGGUGCGGGUUGAAUCCGGACCGAAUUUUUCGGGUUCAGUCCGGGUCCGAUCCGGAUCCGGGUUUGGUUGCCAUCCCUAGUUCCAACUAGACGUAAAUGAAAAGAAGUGUUCUACCAAAAUGACAAAGAGAG